CAAAUGGGUGACUAGGGUUCCGGUCCUGGCUGUUAUCAGUAACAGCAGGAUGGCUGGUCCGAGAGUUACCGACCUCUGGGAGGUUACACGGCGGGACAAAAGCCCGGGAGAC
rnacentral:sRNA from 2 species